GGGGGGGGCGGGGGGGCGGGCCGCACCGCCCCCCCCGAUGGGGGGGGGGGGGGGGGGGGGCCCCCCCCCCCCCCCCCCCCCC
rnacentral:tRNA from 1 species